rnacentral:rRNA from 1 species
ACGUACACUCCUACGGGAGGCAGCAGUGGGGAAUUUUGGACAAUGGGCGAAAGCCUGAUCCAGCCAUGCCGCGUGCAGGAUGAAGGCCUUCGGGUUGUAAACUGCUUUUGUACGGAACGAAACGGCCUUUUCUAAUAAAGAGGGCUAAUGACGGUACCGUAAGAAUAAGCACCGGCUAACUACGUGCCAGCAGCCGAGGUAAUACGUAGGGUGCAAGCGUUAAUCGGAAUUACUGGGCGUAAAGCGUGCGCAGGCGGUUAUGUAAGACAGUUGUGAAAUCCCCGGGCUCAACCUGGGAACUGCAUCUGGGACUGCAUAGCUAGAGUACGGUAGAGGGGGAUGGAAUUCCGCGUGUAGCAGUGAAAUGCGUAGAUAUGCGGAGGAACACCGAUGGCGAAGGCAAUCCCCUGGACCUGUACUGACGCUCAUGCACGAAAGCGUGGGGAGCAAACAGGAUUAGAUACCCCAGUAGUCCCAUGA